GUCGAGUCAGAUUUCGACCAUUUCGUUAGUGUUAGUCUUUUAAUUCGUACUAGUUUUGUCAAUUUUAUUAUUUUAACUGUUUGUGUUGUGUUUUAAUUCGUUACAUGGAUCGAGGUGCAGAAUAUUUCGAUUUUCUAAAAAGCGUGCAAGGAGUUACAAAAGCUCCUGAAAACGCAAUUCAGCAGCCCCCUUGAGCAAAUUUUCCUUAUUAAAAUCAUGAGUAUCACUGUACAAGGGACACAAAUCGAAACGAUCGCCUCCAUCUUCAUUAAAGUGUUUAUAACCUGUUACUGGUUCUUCACAUAAGUAACACAUGGAAGCCCCACAAGAACAAGUCAUUUUAUUACAACCCUCUUCUUUGAAAAAUUUGACGCCACAUUUAUAACAUUUCCUGGAAUUUUUAACAACAAGUUCGCGCCUUGACGUCAGCAUCCUUGUCGAUUUCUUCGCACCUUAAAGGGGCAUGCGAUGGCUUCUUGCACAUCCUGCAGGACUUUUUCAUGCACUCAGGAUUCGAACACGUGAAAAUGGUGUAGCCCUCAGCAGGAAUCGUGGCGAAAUCGCAAAAUGGACACAUUUCCAACUCCUCAAUUCCUGCAGCUUCGAGGGCUUUCUUUUGGGCGAUUUUCGAGAACAAUUUCGGACUCAAAACGGCCUAAAAUUCGUUUUAUUCAAACACAACGACUUAUCACCACCAACUUGUAAUGUUUGAAGACUAAAUGAGGAUUCGCAACUGGCGAGACAUGAAAAAGACAGUUUUCCUUCCCCAAAGGCCACUUCGACACUUUUCACAAUACAAGAUUUACAAAAUUUGCAAUUGUUUUCACACGUGUGGAUGUCACGUGGGAGAACUUCCUCGUCGUAGCAACAAUUACAUGUUUGCAUUAAACUGCGAUUUUUCGCUUCUUCACGUUCCAAAUUUUCGCGUUUUUUCAUUUCGGUGAGAUAAUGGGUGAUUUCUUUUUAAUUGAUCCUGCAGGACUCCUUCAUGCACUCGGGAUUCAAACAAGUGAAAAUGUUGUAGCCUUCAGCAGGAAUUGUGGCGAAAUCGCAAAAUGGACACAUUUCUAACUCUUCAAUUCCUGCAGCUUAUUUGAUCUCCUCGAGGGUGGAUCAUCUAGUCCUGGGGAGACAACAUGCUCAUUACCACCAUAAUCAUCGGCGCCAUUAAUUAUAAAUAUUUUUUACCAGUUGAAUACAUUUAUUUUACUAC